GAGAACCCGCCCCCUUUGCCGGAACUAUCGCAUCUUCCAACGGAAAUCUAGUUGCCAAAAGAGGUGGAAAUGCGUCAUUGGCUAGAGAUCCCAUCAGAUCUGGAGCUGCUGGCCUACGCCACAGCCACAGCAACACCAGAUCCAAGCCGGUUCUGCGACCUACACCACAGCUCACAGCAACGCUGGAUCCUUAACCCACUGAGCGAGGCCAGGGACCGACCCCUCGUCCUCAGGGAAUGCUAGUCAGGUUCAUUACCGCUGAGCCAUGACGGGACCUCCUGCAUUUAGAUUUUUAGCGAACAUCUACUUCGCGCCUCACCUCAAGUCAGUUGCUGGGGAGAAGCAGAAAGGAGGCGUGGGCUGGGCUAGUGCGCAGGUGGACUCAGCCCACCCCUAGUGAGGCUCCCUGCCUGGACUUCUGGGAGAGGCUUGAAUGAGCCUUGAAGGAGAUACCUGACUAUCAAAGGAGGGGGCGAAACAGCAUCCCGAGCCAAGGAAAUGACAUUGUGAAAGCCUCCAAGAUGUUUGGGGUUCAUGACUCCUUGGCACAGUUAAGGCCUGGGGUCCACGGGACAGUCGGGGGAGAGAUGAAGUGAUGAGGCCGAAACCAGAGCAGCGGCUGACUGCACCUCAGGAGUCUGCGGGGGAAGGACUUUGUGGACGUGGCGAUUAUCUCAACUGUUUGUGGGGCAAUCACAGGAGCAUCUGGGGAGAAAACUGGCCCCAGAAGGAAAAGGGCUGCAGGCGGGAAGACCAGAAAGGAUGCUGUUCAGAUGGCCCAGGUGAAAGCCAGUGAGGGCCUAGACUGAGCAGACGUGGUGGGAUGGAGGGGCCCCAGGAGACAGCUCUGGAUUUGGCAGUUGCGGGGGAGGAGCUAGAACAUUGUGCUUUUACAAGAGUGGGUUAUUUAUCCAAAAACAAACAAAACAAAACAACAGCAACAACAGGGCAUUGCCGCAAGCUGUGGUGUAGGCUGCAGAUGUGGCUCGGAUCCAGCGUGGCUGUGGCUGUGCCGUAAGCCAGCAGCUGCAGCUCCGAUUCGAGCCCAGGAACUUCCAUAUGCCUCAGGUGGGGCCCUAGAAAAGGACAGAAAAAAAAAAAAAA
rnacentral:lncRNA from 1 species